UCAAAAAAUGCCGUUUAUCGCAUUUUGCAACCAAACUCUUCAUAUGUAUGUGUGUGUUAUGACUGUAUGACUGCAGAAGAGAACUGCUCUGUUCCCACAACUCAGUUUUUCUGGGACUUGAAAACAGACGCUCAGCAGAUUUUAAAGGGUGGAAUCUUGAUCAAAUCAGAAAGUUACAGUGGAUCUUGAUUUUGGAGGAGGUGAAGUCCAGUCUAAAAGAGUCCCCUCAAGUAUCAUCACCAUGGUACAGUGUCUGUGAAGAUAGUGAAGCAGACCCAGCAUUCACAAAAAAGAGAGGUCCCAUAAAGAGAAGAUCCUGGAGCAAACAGGAAGUACAUGCUGUGGUGAAAGCUGAACCAUUGGCUCUAAAAACCAGAGAUUGGUCAGCUUUGGAUUUUUAUAUUAAAAACUGAAUCUCGACUCU